UACGUAGGGGGCAAGCGUUGUCCGGAAUCAUUGGGCGUAAAGCGCGUGUAGGCGGCCCGGUAAGUCCGCUGUGAAAGUCCAGGGCUCAACCCUGGAAUGCCGGUGGAUACUGUCGGGCUCGAGUCCGGAAGAGGCGAGUGGAAUUCCUGGUGUAGCGGUGAAAUGCGCAGAUAUCAGGAAGAACACCAACGGCGAAGGCAGCUCGCUAGGACGGUACUGACGCUGAGACGCGAAAGCGUGGGGAGCGAACAGG
rnacentral:rRNA from 1 species